rnacentral:misc_RNA from 1 species
AUCGCGUCGUCCCCUAUCAUGCUUUCUUGAGAGUCAGUCAUGGUGUUUGGGGGCGGAUAUUGGCCUCCCGUGCUUGUGGCGUGGUUGGCCUAAAUAGGAGUUUCCUUCGGUGGAUACACGACUAGUGGUGGUUGUAUAGACCCUCUUCUUGUGUCGUGUGUUGUGAGCUGUUAGGGAAACCUUCAUCAAAGACCCCAAUGUAUCGUCUUGUGACGAUGCUUCGAC